UUUAUAUAUUGCUUGUUUUCUCUGACUACACAUAAUUCAAGAGUAUAAAACUCCGGCAAGCACGCAUCGAUAUUGAUUUCUAAUAUCGAUGGCUGUUUCCCAACGUCUUGCCGAAGCAACCUGUUUGUUACACAAGGGUGGGAGUUCCUGUAGAACAGGAAAACUCGGUAAUGAUCCUUCCGCAGGUUCACCUACGGAAA
rnacentral:misc_RNA from 1 species